ACAAGGGGAUCCAGAGCCCCCUCAGUCAGAUUGCAGAUGACAGCAAACUGCUCUCAGCUCAGCUCAGCUCUGCAGAGGGAUCUGGACAGGCUGGAUCAAAGGGCUGAGGUCAAUUGUGUGUCAAUUCUCCCAACAAGAAGAAGAGCGGUGUCCUGCCCUUUAACCACAACAAUCCCAAGUUGUAAGAAGGAACCUUUAGGAUUGUGCUGACCUGAUCUGGAGGAAAAAGGAGAUCCUGGAAUUUUCUUUUCUGCUAACUGUCCUUGGAGAAGCUAUUGAAAGAUUGGAAGAACCUUUUCUGCUGCUCUCUGGACAUUUUUAUCUCUUGUUUUUGGACUUCAGACUGCAGAAAAGAAAGCAGGAUAGCUAUGUAGUGUAACAGAGGUGUGAGCCUGAAAUGAAGUAAUACCACAGUGAAAAAUCAGGCUUUGUUCAGUGUCUGUACUGCGGACUACAGGCUAGCAGAGAGAUGUUUACAUCUGUUUUCAAUAUUUCUGCAUAACACUGAAAGUUGUACUGUGGGCAUAUGUACUUGAAGUCAUAAUGUAAAAUGUAAGCAUGAUUUUAUUAGCUAAAAUGCACCAUUAGGUUUCAAUUCAGUAAUUUUGGAUUUACAGCCUUGUUUUGACUGCAUUACUUGCUAACCCAUUCACUAAAAACUUCCUGAAUUUCCUUGAUUUCUGUAAGUCCAAUGCCUGUGCUUUUUAUUUUAUGAGAAAGUUUUUAUAUUUACCAGUUUGAUAGAAAAAAACUGCCAUCAAAAACUGACAUAAAGCUCUAAAGUUUCUUCAGAUGGGGAAUAUCAAGUAAAGGUCAGUAAAUCUCACAAUAAAAAGCUGUAUAAUAUGGAACAAUGGUCAAUAGUUCAUUAAAUCUAAGCAUCAGAAGCUGUAAAGUUGAAUGAAAAAGACAGCUGAAAGUUCACAGCUCUGUUAUUAAUACUUAGGAAACUCAGUGGGAAGCCUUGACCUUGAAUAUACAGGUAAACAUGCUAGGUAACACAUUAGUUUGCAGUAUGAUUGAAUUUAUUUUUAACUUUGCCGAAACAUAGAGAAAAAUGAGACCACAAUGACACAGAAACCUAAGUACUUUUAAAAUGUAAUGGACUGACCUGUUCUAAAUGGACCUACAUCUGUAGAAUUUUGUCCAAGUGUCUAGAGAAUUUGUGACCUGUUAACCUCUCUUUUUAUGCUAAUUCCCCUUUCCUAGGUUAGGAGGCUGCAUCCUUUACUCAGACAUACCUCAUGACUAUUCUAGCUUGGAUAUUACAAUAUUUAAGUACCCGAAGCAUAUAUAAAAGAUGAACUUUAAACAAAAGCUUUGUUAUUGUCUUUAUGUACUUCCUUAGGUAAACUGCCUAGUACAAGCAUUGGCAAUUUGUUCCACUGUAUAAACACACAGCAUAUAUAACCCACAGCAAAAUUACUGUUUUAUUCAUUCAAUCUUCUUGAAAGAAAGAGAAGAAAUAUGUAAUAAAUUUUGUGGACAUGAAACUUUCCUGAAAUGAAA